rnacentral:rRNA from 1 species
UACGUAGGGUGCAAGCGUUUAAUCGGAAUUACUGGGCGUAAAGCGUGCGCAGGCGGUGAUGUAAGACAGAUGUGAAAUCCCCGGGCUCAACCUGGGAACUGCAUUUGUGACUGCAUCGCUGGAGUGCGGCAGAGGGGAUGGAAUUCCGCGUGUAGCAGUGAAAUGCGUAGAUAUGCGGAGGAACACCGAUGGCGAAGGCAAUCCCCUGGGCCUGCACUGACGCUCAUGCACGAAAGCGUGGGGAGCAAACAGG